rnacentral:rRNA from 1 species
UACGGAGGGUGCAAGCGUUGUUCGGAAUCACUGGGCGUAAAGCGCGUGUAGGCGGCCUCGUAAGUCUGGUGUGAAAGCCCGGGGCUUACCCCCGGAAGUGCACUGGAAACUGCAAGGCUUGAGUACCGGAGAGGAGGGUGGAAUUCCUGGUGUAGCGGUGAAAUGCGUAGAUAUCAGGAGGAACACCGGUGGCGAAGGCGGGUCUCUGGGCAACAACUGACGCUGAGGAGCGAAAGCGUGGGGAGCGAACAGG